rnacentral:rRNA from 1 species
CGUUGAUAGGCCGGGUGUGGAAGCGCAGCAAUGUGUGAAGCUUACCGGUACUAAUCGUUCGAUUGGCUUGAUUGU